CAUGGUCGACCUGAGGUGCAGGGCAUGGCGGUGUAGCAGACCGCGUCCCUGAGAAAGAGCAGCUAGGCAGAACAGCGCAAUAGACCGCAUCCGGGAGGAAGAGAAUCAGGGCAUAGGAGCGCGGUAGGUCAUGGCUGAGGUGAAAGGAUGGAUCUGAGUCCCCGCUCCUGCUAAAAAAAACCUAUCAAAUGGGCCUAAAUGGUGCCCACGUGCCAUGCUAAAUUCUGGCGGCAAGCUAAACUUUGGUGGCCGAAAUGGAAAAGGCUGACCCGAUUUGGCCACCUGGGCAUGCAAAAAAAAAAAAGGCCUACCAAAUAUUGGUAGCAUCUCCAGCAGACUAUCUAAACCCAC
rnacentral:lncRNA from 1 species